CCUACGGGGGGCAGCAGUGGGGAAUAUUUGGCAAUGGGCGCAAGCCUGAUCCAGCAACGCCGCGUGAAGGAAGAAGGCUUUCGGGUUGUAAACUUCUUUUCACAGGGACGAAGCAAGUGACGGUACCUCAGGAAUAAGCCACGGCUAACUACGUGCCAGCAGCCGCGGUAAUACGUAGGUGGCAAGCGUUAUCCGGAUUUAUUGGGUGUAAAGGGCGUGUAGGCGGGGAAGCAAGUCAGAUGUGAAAACUCAGGGCUCAACCCUGAGCCUGCAUUUGAAACUGUUUUGCUUGAGUGCUGGAGAGGCAAUCGGAAUUCCGGGUGUAGCAGUGAAAUGCGUAGAUAUAGGGAGGAACACCAGUGGCGAAGGCGGAUUGCUGGACAGUAACUGACGCUGAGGCGCGAAGGCGUGGGGAGCAAACAGGAUUAGAUACCCUGGUAGUC
rnacentral:rRNA from 1 species